UACGGAGAAGGCAAGCGUUACCCGGAAUUACUGGGCGUAAAGCGUUGCGUAGGUGGUGGUUUAAGUGGAGUGCGAAAUCUUGUGGCUCAACCAUAAGUUGGUAUUCCAAACUGAAUCACUAGAGGAUAGGAGAGGUGAGUGGAAUUUGAGGUGUAGGAGUGAAAUCCGUAGAUAUCUCAAGGAACACCAAUGGCGAAGGCAGCUCACUGGCCUAUUCCUGACACUGAGGCACGAAAGCGUGGGGAGCGAACCGG
rnacentral:misc_RNA from 1 species